GAAAUGCGAUAAGUAAUGUGAAUUGCAGAAUUCAGUGAAUCAUCGAAUCUUUGAACGCACAUUGCGCCCGCCAGUAUUCUGGCGGGCAUGCCUGUCCGAGCGUCAUUUCAACCAUCAAGCCCCCGGGCUUGUGUUGGGUACCUGCGGCUGCCCGCAGGCCCUGAAAACCAGUGGCGGGCUCGCUGUCACACCGAGCGUAGUAGCAAUCACCUCGCUCAGGGCGUGCUGCGGGUUCCGGCCGUUAAACAGCCUUACAAAACCCAAGGUUGACCUCGGAUCAGGUAGGAAGACCCGCUGAACUUAAGC
rnacentral:misc_RNA from 1 species